GCCAAGUCUGUGUUUUCUCCCUUAGCUUUUAACAUUUCAUUUUCUCCUUAUCUGCAUCUUAGAGGACAGGUGACCGCAAAGCAGAAGUGAUGAAGAGCCAGUCACCAUGGCCACAUCUUGAGGUCACACAGUCAGCAGUUCGCUUUGCUCACUCAGUCCUAUAAAAUAAUGAACAUUAAGAUCUCCUUCAAGGUCCGCUACAGAACAGCAAGGUGGCCAGUGGGCUAGUGUGAAAUAAUUAAGAGGACAAUUCAUAGAAAAUGGAAAUGGAAAGACAGCAGGAGGGCAGACCAAACAGUAUCUCCUGGACCCGUUAAAGGCUUUGGAUUUUACACUGGAGAAAUGGAAAGCCUGCGACUAACUGAAAAAGUUACACAGCUGACACUGCUGCUUAAAGAAACCAGAUGGCGCCAGAGCUUCUUGACCCCUGACCAGAUGCCAGAGGAAGAUAAGACACCAUAAAACCAGCGCAAAUGGGAACUGGCAAACCCUGGGUGCCUUUAGAUCAUGAACAUAUCAUUAUAAUGCUAAUUUCCCUUCCCUAAAAGAAAAUCUCUGCCAUUUUGUGUACAUAUGAUAUAUGAAGAUGCAUGUUUAUGAAUUGGGCCUGCGUGUCUGGAGUCCCACCCUGCACAUACUAACAUUCCUUUCCUGCCCCAUAGGAAUAAAGGCAAUAAACCCCUUGCCUUUUAUUCUUCAAGAAAAGAUGCUUUCAGAGGAAGAGCUCACCUUCUCCAUUCCCUGGCAAAUGAAUAAAACCUGAUUGCCUUUUUCAAUGGGAUAUUCUUUGUUUGUGACUGAUACACAGUGGGGAAAAAACUCAUUUUAUCAGGGACACUUUGGGAGACCCAGGCCAGAGGAUUGGUUGAGGCCAGGAGUUUGAGACCAGCCUGGGCAAUAGAGCCAG
rnacentral:lncRNA from 1 species